GAGGGUGUAGCUCAGUGGUAGAGCACAUGCUUAGUAUGCCUGAGGUCCUGGGUUCGAUCCCCAGCACCUCA
rnacentral:tRNA from 1 species